GACGAGCGCUGUCGGCGUGCUUAACACAUGCAAGUCGAACGAAGUGGCGAACGGGUGAGUAAUACGUGGGUACCCUGCCCGCCUUGUUGGGAUAAGGCUUGGAAACGGGGUCUAUUACCGACUAAAGGGGGAUGGGCUCGCGGUCUGUCAGCUUGGUGGUGGGGUGAUGGCCUACCAGGGGGGUGACGGGUAGCCGGCCUGAGAGGGUGACCGGCCACAUGGGGGCUGAGAUACGGCCGAGACGCCUGCGGUGGGCAGCAGUGUGGGAUCUGGCACGAUGCACGAAGGCCUGAUGCAGCGACGCCGCGUGGGGGAUGAAGGCUUUUGGGUUGUAAACCUCUUUCGCGAUCGAACGGGUACGUGGAGAGGAAGCGCAGGCGAACUACGUGCCAGCAGCCGCGGUAAUAC
rnacentral:rRNA from 1 species